rnacentral:lncRNA from 1 species
ACUGUUCAAAACCAGUCUGUAAAAGUCAUUGCCUUCAUCAAGUUAAUUAGCUGCAGAAGUGCCGGCUGAACGCGGCAACGCUGCCCAAGGGUUGAUGGAUUGGUGCCAUCCACCCGUGUCCAUCCUGCUCCCUCCAGCUGGCAGCGCUGCGCCGGGCCCUGAGGAGCAGCCAGGAGGGGAUGCAGGAGCCAGGAGCUGGAGCUCAGGGCAUGCAGAGCGAUGGGGAUGGGGCCAGGGCACGUGCGUGGGAUUGUGUGGAUGUGGAGGAGGUGGUGAGCACUCUGAGAUGGGCAAAGGGGGGUGGCAGAGGGACAGGUUGGGGGGCAGCAGGGCAGGGGCUGGGCUGGCCAUGCCAUAAGAAGGGAG